UACGGGGGGGGCAAGCGUUGUUCGGAAUUACUGGGCGUAAAGGGCUCGUAGGCGGCCAACUAAGUCAGACGUGAAAUCCCUCGGCUUAACCGGGGAACUGCAUCUGAUACUGGAUGGCUUGAGUUCGGGAGAGGGAUGCGGAAUUCCAGGUGUAGCGGUGAAAUGCGCAGAUAUCAGGAGGAACACCAAUGGCGAAGGCAGCUCGCUGGAACGGUACUGACGCUGAGGCGCGAAAGCGUGGGGAGCGAACAGG
rnacentral:rRNA from 1 species